rnacentral:rRNA from 1 species
UACGAAGGGGGCUAGCGUUGCUCGGAAUCACUGGGCGUAAAGCGCACGUAGGCGGAUUGUUAAGUCAGGGGUGAAAUCCUGGAGCUCAACUCCAGAACUGCCUUUGAUACUGGCGAUCUUGAGUCCGGGAGAGGUGAGUGGAACUGCGAGUGUAGAGGUGAAAUUCGUAGAUAUUCGCAAGAACACCAGUCGGCGAAGGC